UGUACGUGAGGUGUAGGAACAGUCGUUGUAUGUCAGCCAACAAAGAGGAUUCGUCUUGAAAUGUAAUGGAGUUGAGGAGGAUUAACAUGAAUACAUUGCUUCGACGUCAUCGUAAUGUUUCUAACUUCGAAGCUUGGUAGAGGGCACCAUCACCAACAUCAGCAGUUUAUGGUAACCACUAAAUUCAAAAAUACCACUCAAGCACGUCAAAUCGCAAGGCUAUUCACUUAUUAUGCAGAGUACUGGCUGAUGUGCUUAGAUUUGUACUUAUGUUAGCUGAUGUGCUUAAUUUUAUACUUAUGUUGUUAAAUGCAGAGCACUGGCGGGUGUGCUUAGAUUUUCUCUUAUAUUGUUAAAUGCAGAGCACUGGCUGAUGUGCUUAGAUUUUUA